GAUGAACGCUGGCGGCGUGCCUAAUACAUGCAAGUCGAGCGAACGGACGAGAAGCUUGCUUUUCUGAUGUUAGCGACGGACGGGUGAGUAACACGUGGAUAACCUACCUAUAAGACUGGGAUAACUUCGGGAAACCGGAGCUAAUACCGGAUAAUAUUUUGAACCGCAUGGUUCAAAAGUGAAAGACGGUCUUGCUGUCACUUAUAGAUGGAUCCGCGCUGCAUUAGCUAGUUGGUAAGGUAACGGCUUACCAAGGCAACGAUGCAUAGCCGACCUGAGAGGGUGAUCGGCCACACUGGAACUGAGACACGGUCCAGACUCCUACGGGAGGCAGCAGUAGGGAAUCUUCCGCAAUGGGCGAAAUCCUGACGGAGCAACGCCGCGUGAGUGAUGAAGGUCUUCGGAUCGGAAAACUCUGUUAUUAGGGAAGAACAUAUGUGUAAGUAACUGUGCACAUCUUGACGGUACCUAAUCAGAAAGCCACGGCUAACUACGUG
rnacentral:rRNA from 1 species